AAGACCCUGGGAUAUGCGUCAGACUGCUAGAUCCCUGAGCCGAUGCUUUUAAACUAGGCUGUUUCCAGCUGAUACUGUUGUGCAUGUCCGCGAGACGGGAAGCCUGAUGUAUCUCGGAAACUGCCACCUUGAACCUCUGGGUUCAAGGGUCACGCAGCCAACGGUAUCUCGGGGUUUUU
rnacentral:other from 1 species